UACAGAGGAUGCAAGCGUUAUCCGGAAUGAUUGGGCGUAAAGCGUCUGUAGGUGGCUUUUUAAGUCCGCCGUCAAAUCCCAGGGCUCAACUCUGGACAGGCGGUGGAAACUACCAAGCUGGAGUACGGUAGGGGCAGAGGGAAUUCCCGGUGGAGCGGUGAAAUGCGUAGAGAUCGGGAGGAACAUCUGUGGCGAAGGCGACUACCUGGACCAGCACUGACACUGAGGCACGAAAGCGUGGGGAGCAAACAGG
rnacentral:rRNA from 1 species